rnacentral:rRNA from 1 species
CACGUAGGAGGCGAGCGUUGUCCGGAAUCAUUGGGCGUAAAGAGCGCGCAGGCGGCUUGGCAAGUCGGGUGUGAAAUCCCAGGGCUCAACCCCGUGACUGCAUCCGAUACUGUCAGGCUAGAGGUAGGUAGGGGAGAUCGGAAUUCCUGGUGUAGCGGUGAAAUGCGCAGAUAUCAGGAGGAACACCGGUGGCGAAGGCGGAUCUCUGGGCCUUACCUGACGCUCAGGCGCGAAAGCUAGGGGAGCGAACAGG